CUAAAAUUUGGGAUAUCAAACACACCCUAAAAUGAAAGAGAUGGUAGGUAGCUGAUAGGGAUCUUUUACCAUAUAAAAUUACUUUAUUUAUAAUUCAUGACCCUUCUUUUUUACUCAAGGAAUAUGCUUAAGAGAACUUGAUAUAAGAAGUGUUGCCAAACUAAUAUUACCUACUAGUAUUUUUUAUUGAAUACUUAAAACUAUGGAUUUGAUCAUUUCUACAACAGAAAAAAUAUGAUAUGCUUUAUCAAGAUGACUACUUGAGUUAACAGUGCAGCCAAACAUUCAUAGAUUGCAUAUGAUCUGCGUUUUCCUCCAUUUGUGGUUGAAGCUCAUGAACUUUACUUGUUGUUCCAUAAUCAUGUUACAAAAUAUUUUUUGCCUUGAUAUUACGUUGCAUGCCCUCCUGAGUGUGUUCUACAUGUUGGUUCUCUAUACUUGUAUUCUCAUAAAUUUGAUCAUCAACAUUGCUUGAGAUAGGUGUAGCCCGUUCCUUAGAAGUGAAAGAAUUCUGUUUAGUUUGCUCAAUAAAACUGUGAGAUAAAUGUAACUUAUGAUACUUUACUAUUAGAAUUUAGAGGGCUUUGAUUGUUCUGCUGCAAGUUCUUGUCAGUCUUUGUAUGCUCCUUGAAACUGUGAGUGAUGACUUGUUUGACUGCAUCUUGCAGAUUAUUUAGUCUUGAAGUUUCAGCCAUCUUCAGCCCUUCAUUCCCGAACCUUGCCUUUGUUCUAUACUACCUUGCGGUUUUUUGAAUUGAACCUUUUUUUUAAAUUUAAUUUACACAGGUUGCUGAAAGAUUUGUUGCUGCUAUUGAUGAAUCCGCAAAACCACCAUUUCAAAUGGGCUUCUUUAUUGAUUACAAUAUUGAUGAUAUACUAAGACAAGCAACUGAAUCUACUCUUAGGUAUCAAAGAGGGGAACCAAUCUCAGUGCUAGACGGAGUACCUGUUUCAAUAAAGGACGAGAUAAAUUGUUUACGGUAUCCAACAAUAGAGGUACAAAGUGGAUGCAUAAGGAAAGGCCUUGUAAAGACGAUGCAUGUUGUGUUAAGCUCUUAAAGCAAUGCGGUGCUAUACUUGUUGGGAAAUCCAAUAUGCACGAACUUAGGUCUGGAACUAGUGGGAUAAACCCACACUAUGGGAAAAUCUUGGUCGCAUUCGUAAGACUCUCGCUGACUUCACCAGCUUGAAUCACUGAGUAGUUAAUGUACUACUUCUGUCGGGUGGACUCCAUCAAUGCUUUCGAGCCUAAUGGUUACAAAUCCUCUUGAUUAUGUUGAACCUUUGGGAAAAGCUUGUGCUUCCUGGUGCUUCUGGUACUUUGGGUGGACCGUUUCCCGUGGGUUUACACAUAAUAAAGCUGGUGCUUCUGGUGCUUAUGUUGAAUCUCCUCUUGAAUAUUUUACUUGGUCAUUGAUUAGAUUCAUACAAAAUAGGGAUCUUUAUAGUUAUUCUUAUUCAAACAGAAAAUAAGAAAAUGUAGUUGAAAU